AAUGCAAGACAUGAAAGUCUGUUCUAGUCUUAACAUUAGGAAUCGUCGAGCUUGUUCUCAAUCCUAAAGAUAUCAUUUUAAGUGAUUGUCACUAUUGUCCAAUCUUAUUAAUGGUGUCAAUAAGUAUGAUUGUUGUAAUAUCAUUAUGAAUGAUACUAUAAUAAUGAGUGGACAAUUAAAAAUGAUAUAAAUCCAGUAUUAUAGCCUGUUAGUAUAAUGUACACGUCUAACUAGCACCCU
rnacentral:lncRNA from 1 species